rnacentral:rRNA from 1 species
AUACGAAGGGGGCUAGCGUUGUUCGGAAUUACUGGGCGUAAAGCGCGCGUAGGCGGAUUGGUCAGUUAGGGGUGAAAUCCCAGGGCUUAACCCUGGAACUGCCUCUAAUACUGCCAGUCUUGAGUUCGCGAGAGGUGAGUGGAAUUCCUAGUGUAGAGGUGAAAUUCUUAGAUAUUAGGAAGAACACCAGUGGCGAAGGCGGCUCACUGGCCCGAUACUGACGCUGAGGCGCGAAAGCGUGGGGAGCAAACAGGAUUAGAAACCCUAGUAGUCC